UACGUAGGGUGCGAGCGUUGUCCGGAAUUAUUGGGCGUAAAGAGCUCGUAGGCGGUCUGUCGCGUCGGUCGUGAAAACCUGCAGCUUAACUGUGGGCUUGCGGUCGAUACGGGCAUGACUGGAGUUCGGCAGGGGAGACUGGAAUUCCUGGUGUAGCGGUGAAAUGCGCAGAUAUCAGGAGGGAACACCGGCGGCGAAGGCGGGUCUCUGGGCCGUAACUGACGC
rnacentral:rRNA from 1 species